ACGAAGAGGUAUCGUAAUUGAAGAGGUUUGGAAAGACCCACCACAGAAGGUAAUAGUCCUGUAUGUUAAACGAGAAGACUUCAGAUAUGAUCCAGAGUACCACGGGACACGUGAAACCCUGUGGGAAGCAGGAGGGACCACCCUCCAAGGCUAAAUACUACCUAGUGACCGAUAGCGUAUAGUACCGUGAGGGAAAGGUGAAAAGAACCCCGGGAGGGGAGUGAAAUAGAACCUGAAACCCUGCACUUACAAGCUGUGGAAGCACAUUUCUUGUGUGACCGCGUACUUUUUGUAGAACGGGCCAACGAGUUACGUUAAGUAGCAAGGUUAAGCACUUAAGGUGCGGAGCCGUAGCGAAAGCGAGUUUUAACUGAGCGUUCAGUUACUUGACGUAGACCCGAAACCGGGCGACCUACCCAUGAGCAGGAUGAAGCGAAAGUAAAAUUUCGUGGAGGUCCGAACCCACGAGCGUUGAAAAGCUCGGGGAUGACUUGUGGGUAGCGGUGAAAUUCCAAUCGAGCCCGGAGAUAGCUGGUUCUCCCCGAAAUAGCUUUAGGGCUAGCCUCAAGGUGAGAGAUACGGAGGUAGAGCACUGAAUGUCCUAGGGGGUAUUGCACCUACCGAAGACUAUCAAACUCCGAAUGCCGUCAUCUUAUACUUGGGAGUCAGACUGUGGGUGAUAAGAUUCAUAGUCGAAAGGGCAACAGCCCAGAUCGUCAGCUAAGGUCCCUAAAUGUAAGUUAAGUGGUAAAGGAUGUGGGAUUGCACAGACAACCAGGAUGUUGGCUUAGAAGCAGCCACUCAUUCAAAGAGUGCGUAAUAGCUCACUGGUCGAGUGAUCCUGCGCCGAAGAUUUCCGGGGCUAAAACUUACUACCGAAGCUACGGCAUCAGUAAUGAUGGGUAGGGGAGCUUCCCAUACGGGUUGAAGCAUGACCGUAAGGACAUGUGGACAGUAUGGGAGUGAGAAUGUUGGCAUGAGUAGCGAGAUGUGGGUGAGAAUCCCACAGGCCGUAAACCCAAGGUUUCCAGGGGAAGGUUCGUCCGCCCUGGGUUAGUCGGGACCUAAGCUGAGGCCGAAAGGCGUAGGUGAUGGACAACAGGUUGAUAUUCCUGUACUACCGAUAACCGUUUGAGAGAAGGGAUGACACAGUAGGAUAAGCUAAGCACACUGUUGGUUAUGUGUGCCCAAGCAUUGAGGCAGUCAAAGUAGGCAAAUCCGCUUUGAUAAUGCUGGGAUGUGAUGGGGAGCGAAAUUUAGUAGCGAAGUAGCUGAUUUCACACUGUCAAGAAAAGUCUCUAUCGAGGUUAAAGGUACCCGUACCGCAAACCGACACAGGUGGGUGAGGAGAGUAUCCUAAGGCCAGCGAGAGAACUGUUGUUAAGGAACUCGGCAAAAUGACCCCGUAACUUAGGGAUAAGGGGUGCCACCAUCAGGUGGCCGCAGAGAAUAGGCCCAAGCGACUGUUUACCAAAAACAUAGGUUUCUGCUAAGUCGCAAGACGAUGUAUAGGAGCUGACGCCUGCCCGGUGCUGGAAGGUUAAGGGGAUCUGUUAGAGCAAUCGAAGCAGUGAACUUAAGCCCCAGUAAACGGCGGCCGUAACUAUAACGGUCCUAAGGUAGCGAAAUUCCUUGUCGGGUAAGUUCCGACCCGCACGAAAGGCGUAACGAUUUGGGCACUGUCUCAACAACAGACUCGGUGAAAUUGUAAUUCCGGUGAAGAUGCCGGAUACCUGCGACAGGACGGAAAGACCCCAUGGAGCUU
rnacentral:rRNA from 1 species